rnacentral:rRNA from 1 species
GAUCAAGUGUCUUAAGGGCAAUUGGUGGAUGCCUUGGCAUGCACAGGCGAUGAAGGACGUGAUACGCUGCGAUAAGCUACGGGGAGGUGCGAAUACCCUUUGAUCCGUAGAUUUCCGAAUGGGGAAACCCACCUUAAAUGCUUGGAAAAUCAGAGUAGCAAAGCAAUUUGCUGCUGUGGUUUCCAAGUAUUGUUUUAAGGUAACUUACCCUGAAUACAUAGGGGUAAAGUGGCGAACGCGGGGAACUGAAACAUCUAAGUACCCGUAGGAAAGGACAUCAACAGAGACUCCGGAAGUAGUGGCGAGCGAACCCGGACCAGGCCAGCGGCUUUUGCGAGACAAGCGGAACGAUCUGGAAAGUUCGGCCGUAGCGGGUGACAGCCCCGUACGCGUAAUGCGAGCAGAAGUCCUUGAGUAAGGCGGGACACGUGAAAUCCUGUCUGAACAUGGGGAGACCACUCUCCAAGCCUAAGUACUCGUGCAUGACCGAUAGCGAACUAGUACCGUGAGGGAAAGGUGAAAAGCACCCCGACAAGGGGAGUGAAAGAGUACCUGAAACCGGUUGCCUACAAACAGAUGGAGCCUGCAAGGGUGACAUCGUACCUUUUGUAUAAUGGGUCAGCGACUUAGUGUGACGAGCAAGCUUAAACCGGUAGGUGUAGGCGCAGCGAAAGCGAGUCUGAACAGGGCGUUCAGUUCGUCGCAUUAGACCCGAAACCGAGUGAUCUAGCCAUGAGCAGGCUGAAGGUAGGGUAACACCUACUGGAGGGCCGAACCCAUAACUGUUGCAAUAGUUC